ensembl:snoRNA SNORD1A small nucleolar RNA R38
UCAAGCCAGUGAUGAAAAAAGUUAUCCCUGUCUGAACAACGGUGUUGACCAUUGGUAACCUGAGGCUUGA